CAUUCCUCAGGGGCCACAUCUUUUCAUUUGACGGAAAAAGCUGGACAUUGAGUUUUAAACUCUCUCUGAGAGAAGCAGAAACUGAGGCUCACUGUAAGCAGGCAAGAGAGACUGCCUUGGGAAGUUGAUUCUUCACCUGUACACAGAAUAUCUGUGCUUAUUUUCUGUGUUGCAAUGUUCUCCUAGGACGUACUUGGGGAUCCAUUGAUAAGAACACUGAAACACAGAAGGUUAAACAACUUCUCUAAUAUUCAGACCAUCUGUUUCUACUGCUCUGCUAAGCUGCUGUAUGAUAAGCCAUAGUCAUUCUGGUGUUAUCCUCCAAUGGUGAUGAGCCUGUAGGGCCUCACAUGACCUGAUUCCUGCCUACCACUUGAUUCCAUCAAGAACCACUCUCCACUUCCCAAGUGCCAGCAUAUAGUUUUCUUCCUCCUCAGAUAACAUCCCUGGCUGUUUCCUGCCUUAGGAUCCUUAUAAUACUGACUCAUUGUAGUACUUAUAGUCCGAACAACCCCCAAUUGAAUGUAAUUCUUAGCAUUUACACUAUUUGACAUUUUUUGCUUUGUAUAUUUAUUUAUUUAUUUUUUGUCUCUCUAGUACAUUGAAGCUUUAAGGGAGGAGGGACAUUGUCUGCUUGAUCAGUGUUAACUUUCUUGUUUGCAUUGUCUAGAAUACCACCCACACGUAGUAGGCACUGUCAAUAUCUGUUGAACAUGUGAAUGAAUCUGUAAAUGAAUACAUAAAAUUCACAGACUAGAUACAACCAUAUGAUCUCAUUUGUUCCUUAUGAAGAAAAAAUCCAUUAUUAUUCAUAUUCAGAGUUUGAGGCUUAAUAUGAACCCAGAAUUACUAAACAUUGUAGAUAA